CGGUGGCCGACAGGGGUCGCUGCACUGCAACGAAAGAAAACACAUGCAAAUAGAUAAAACACCAGCAAAUAGAGAAAACAUCUUCAUCAGUUUGACAACACAUACGCUGCAAAUAUCGCAACACAUCCAAAUACAGAAAUGCGUUGCAAAUUCUUACAACACGAACAAAAACAGAAACGCGUUCCAAAUCUCACAACAGAACAAUAGCAGAAACGCGUUCCAAAUCUCACAACACAACGGAAGUGUUUCAGGGGGGUCACAAAAAGUGAUGCACCGGUCUGAGAAGUGUUUUCGGUUUACAUUCCAUUCGUCCGUGGAGCUUUUGUGAGUUUACAUCGAUCAAAUGAAAGCUAAAGGACCUGUUAUUACAUUGAGAGCAUCCCGACCAGAUGCAUAGUGUGAUAUGGUAGCAUGAUAGAAAUGAACUGCCAGAGCCUGUAGAGAGGGAUAAAGUCUACUGAGAGGAACACCACUGCCUUCCUUUACACAUUUUACAAACUAACGCACCAAAAUUAACCAGAGUUUUGUUAGGUAGCUUUAAAUUUGAGCUUGGGUCAGACUGGUCUAUCAUUGUAUCUAUUCCAGAGCAAGAUUUCUACUGCAAACUAAAUAUAAAUUAAAUUGUAUUAAAAAAACAUUUGUUUACUAGCUUAAAACAACAUAACAUAUAACAAAAAACACAUUUUCUAAUUGUAACACAAUUUUAAGUUAAAGUUAAGCAUCAGGGCCAUAAUUUGUAUUUUUCAUUAGGAACAGCUUAUGUUUUGUAGCUCAACUUCUGACAGGUCAUAAUCUGGUUAUACAGAAGAAUUACAAUGUUAAUGUUCAUCUGAGAAUGGUGAUUAUUUGUAAUUAUUUCUCUUGAUUCUUUAUAGACCACUGCAUUGUAUUUCAUGUCAUAUUAGCGGCAUAUGAAGAUGCAUAAAAUUGGAUUGACAUUAAACAUCUUGUUCAAAGAUUCCUCUCCUGAUUUUCUUACUGGAAUCUGGUCCAUAUUUAGCCACCUCAACCAGCUAAACCUUAAAUGUAGUGAAGUUAACUACAACCAGAACAUCAAUCUUAUCACUUUGACAUGUACUGUAUGACUUUUAUUUGAAUGAAUAAUACAGUUACUAUAACAUCUUACAAUGUUGAUACUUCUUUUUAGUUCCUGCUUAGAACUUUUCGUAAAGGACAAUGCUGUUAAUAAACUUGCAGUAAAGCUGA